rnacentral:rRNA from 1 species
CCUGGUGACCAAGGCGGAGGGGCCACACCCGAUACCAUCUCGAACUCGGAAGUUAAGCCCUCCAGCGCCGAUGAUACUGCGGUCAUAACCGUGGGAAACUAGGUCGUCGCCAGGA